rnacentral:rRNA from 1 species
GACGAACGCUGGCGGCGUGCUUAACACAUGCAAGUCGAACGGAAAGGCCCUGCUUUUGUGGGGUGCUCGAGUGGCGAACGGGUGAGUAACACGUGAGUAACCUGCCCUUGACUUUGGGAUAACUUCAGGAAACUGGGGCUAAUACCGGAUAGGAGCUCCUGCUGCAUGGUGGGGGUUGGAAAGUUUCGGCGGUUGGGGAUGGACUCGCGGCUUAUCAGCUUGUUGGUGGGGUAGUGGCUUACCAAGGCUUUGACGGGUAGCCGGCCUGAGAGGGUGACCGGCCACCUUGGGACUGAGAUACGGCCCAGACUCCUACGUGAGGCAGCAGUGGGGAAUAUUGCACAAUGGGCGGAAGCCUGAUGCAGCAACGCCGCGUGCGGGAUGACGGCCUUCGGGUUGUAAACCGCUUUCGCCUGUGACGAAGCGUGAGUGACGGUAAUGGGUAAAGAAGCACCGGCUAACUACGUG